ensembl:snRNA U2 U2 spliceosomal RNA
UUCGCUUCUCGGCCUUUUUGACUAUGAUCAAGUGUAGUAUCUGUUCUUAUCAGUUUAAUAUCUGACACGUCCCCUACCCAGGGACCAUAUAUUAAAUUGAUUUUUGGAGCAGGGAGAUGGACUAGGGGCUUGUUCCGUCCACUCCAUGCAUCGACCCAGUAUCUCCGGGAACGGUGCAACGGUG